rnacentral:rRNA from 1 species
ACAACUUUCAGCAGUGGAUGUCUAGGCUCGCACAUCGAUGAAGAACGCGGCGAACUGCGAUACGUAAUGCGAAUUGCAGAAUUCAGUGAGUCAUCGAAAUUUUGAACGCAUAUUGCACUUUCGGGUUAUGCCUGGAAGUAUGUCUGUAUCAGUGUCCGUA